AUUGACCAACUUUAAGUAUACGAUGAACUGCAGCAUGCCAGGCUUCCCUGCAGUUCAUCGUAUACUUAAAGUUGGUCAGUU
ensembl:miRNA